AGAUGGUGAGGAUGAUGAUGAUGAGGAUGAUGAUGAUGAGGAAGAUGAUGAUGACGAGGACCAGCCGCCUUCCAAGAAGAAGAAAUGAGCUAGCCUCCUUCAUCCUGCAUCUGCCUCCUCAACUUGUUUCAGUCUGUUGUGCUGUUUAGAUGAUGGAACAGGUUAUGGGACCUAUGUAGCUUAUGGUUUGGGUUGUUUGGGUCUCUCAUAGGAGUAGGAAAACAUUUGACAUCUGAUGUUAAGCCGUUCUCUUGUGUUUUGCCUUUGUGCAUGUAGACGUAAAAUGCUGCGGUGUGUUAUUUAUUGGAGAUCUGAUUCUGUC
rnacentral:sRNA from 1 species